AGCAUCAGCAGCACUCCUUGUAGCGCAUAAGAGAGCCAGACGGAGGGACGGACAAACCCACCAAACCAGCCCGGCAACUCUUUUUUUUUCUUUCUAACAAGCUGGAGCCAAAAGACCCCCAAGAAACGACAGAAAAAGUGAAAGUGGUUUUUAUUCUUUCUUUUCUUUCAUUUGAUUUACAUCAGCAGCCGCUGCCGCUGCCGCUUCGUGUCUGUGCACUUGACACGCCGCUGCUGUUGCAGCCAAGUCGGACUGAUGUUGGAUGCUGGUGAAGCAAGAUACGCUUUGCUGCCAAUGAAACUAUUAAAUCAAAGAAUGAAAGGAAUAAUUACGAGAAGGAAUAGCUGCCAUCCUCCUUCUGAUCGAAUUCGGAGCUGAGGAUCGGGACUGGGGUGUUGCCGCCUUGGGGAGCGGAUGAGGCGAUGGCCACCAAAGCGGCGAAAAGAGCGACGGCGAA